rnacentral:rRNA from 1 species
UACGGAGGGUGCAAACGUUGCUCGGAAUCAUUGGGCGUAAAGCGCACGUAGGCGGCUCGUUAAGUCGGGAUGUGAAAGCCCUGGGCUCAACCCAGGAAGUGCAUUCGAAACUGGCGAGCUUGAAUAUGGAAGAGGGUCGCGGAAUUCCCGGUGUAGAGGUGAAAUCGUAGAUAUUCGCAAGAACACCAGUGGCGAAGGCGGCUCACUGGCCCGGUACGUGACGCCUGAGGUGCGAAAGCGUGGGGAGCAAAGCAGG